UACGAGGGGGGCGAGCGUUGUUCGGAAUUAUUGGGCGUAAAGGGUGCGUAGGCGGCCUGACAAGUCUGAUGUGAAAUCCCUGGGCUCAACCCAGGGCCUGCAUCGGAAACUGUCGGGCUUGAGUAUGGGAGAGGUGAGUGGAAUUUCCGGUGUAGCGGUGAAAUGCGUAGAGAUAUGGAGGAACACCAGUGGCGAAGGCGACUUUCUGGUCUGUAACUGACACUGAGGCGCGAAAGCGUGGGGAGCAAACAGG
rnacentral:rRNA from 1 species